CAGCCACACUGGGAUUGAGACACGGCCCAGAUUCUUACGGGAGGCAGCAGUGGGGAAUUUUCCGCAAUGGGCGAAAGCCUGACGGAGCAAUACCGCGUGAGGGAGGAAGGCUCUUGGGUUGUAAACCUCAAAACUUAGGGAAGAAAAAAAUGACGGUACCUAAUGUAAGCAUCGGCUAACUCCGUGCCAGCAGCCGCGGUAAUACGGAGGAUGCAAGCGUUAUCCGGAAUCAUUGGGCGUAAAGAGUCCGUAGGUGGCACUUCAAGUCUGCUUUCAAAGACCGAAGCUCAACUUCGGAAAGGGAGUGGAAACUGAAGAGCUAGAGUAUAGUAGGGGUAGAGGGAAUUCCUAGUGUAGCGGUGAAAUGCGUAGAGAUUAGGAAGAACACCAGUGGCGAAGGCGCUCUACUGGGCAUAUACUGACACUGAGGGACGAAAGCUAGGGGAGCGAAAGGGAUUAGAUACCCCUGUAGUCCUAGCGGUAAACGAUGGAUACUAGGCGUAGUGCUGUUAGAAGGACUGUGCCGAAGCUAACGCGUUAAGUAUCCCGCCUGGGGAGUACGCACGCAAGUGUGAAACUCAAAGGAAUUGACGGGGACCCGCACAAGCGGUGGAGUAUGUGGUUUAAUUCGAUGCAACGCGAAGAACCUUACCAAGGCUUGACAUCCUGCGAAUCUUGGAGAAAUCUGAGAGUGCCUAAGGGAACGCAGAGACAGGUGGUGCAUGGCUGUCGUCAGCUCGUGUCGUGAGAUGUUGGGUUAAGUCCCGCAACGAGCGCAACCCUCGUCCUUAGUUGCCAGCAUUAAGUUGGGGACUCUAGGGAGACCGCCGGGGAGAACUCGGAGGAAGGUGGGGAUGACGUCAAGUCAGCAUGCCCCUUACGUCUUGGGCUACACACGUACUACAAUGGUUGGGACAAAGGGGAGCGAAACCGCGAGGUGGAGCGAAUCUCAUCAAACCCAGCCACAGUUCAGAUUGCAGGCUGAAACUCGCCUGCAUGAAGGAGGAAUCGCUUGUAAUCGCAGGUCAGCAUACUGCGGUGAAUCCGUUCCCGGGUCUUGUACACACCGCCCGUCACACCAUGGAAGUUGGUCACGCCCG
rnacentral:rRNA from 1 species